CACACACAGCCCAACUGCCCAUACAUCACAAUACAUACACUCAUACACUCACACACUCAUACACAGCCCAACCGCCCAUACAUCACAAUACACACACAGCAACCCCCCAGACACAGCAUCCUCACACACACACACACACACACAGCACCUCUCAUACACUUCACCCCUCUCUCACACAAACACAGCACCCUCACACACUGCACCUCUCACAU